rnacentral:rRNA from 1 species
CUUAAACAUGCAAGUCGAACGAGAAAGCUCUUUCGGGAGCGAGUAAAGUGGCGGACGGGUGAGGAACGCGUAGGAAUCUGCCUAGUAGUGGGGGAUAACUCGGGGAAACUCGAGCUAAUACCGCAUACACUCUGAGGAGAAAAGCGGGGGACCUUUAGGCCUCGCGCUAUUAGAGGAGCCUGCGUUAGAUUAGUUUGUUGGUGAGGUAAUGGCUCACCAAGACUACGAUCUAUAGCUGGUCUGAGAGGACGAUCAGCCACACUGGAACUGAGACACGGUCCAGACUUCUACGGAAGGCAGCAGUUAGGAAUAUUGCGCAAUGGGCGAAAGCCUGACGCAGCGAUGCCGCGUGUGUGAAGAAGGCUCUAGGGUUGUAAAGCACUUUCAGUCGUGAAGAAAUUUAUUUUGUUAAUACCGAAAUGAUUUGACGUUAACGACAGAAGAAGUACCGGCUAACUCCGUGCCAGCAGCCGCGGUAAUACGGAGGGUACGAACGUUAAUCGGAAUUACUGGGCGUAAAGCGCGCGUAGGCGGUUUGGUAAGUGGGAUGUGAAAGCCCCGGGCUCAACCUGGGAACUGCAUUCCAAACUGGCAAACUAGAGUGUGGUAGAGGGAAGUAGAAUUUGAUGUGUAGCGGUGAAAAUGCGUAGAUAUAUCAAGGAAUACCAAUGGCGAAGGCAGCUUCCUGGACUAACACUGACGCUGAGGUGCGAAAGCGUGGGGGAGCAAACAGGAUUAGAUACCCUGGUAGUCCACGCCGUAAACGAUGAGAACUAGCCGUUGGGAGGUUCGCCUCUUAGUGGCGCAGCUAACGCAAUAAGUNUCC